ensembl:lncRNA LINC01606 long intergenic non-protein coding RNA 1606
AAGACCGUCUGCCGCCAGCGAGCGCCAGGUGCGGAGCGGGCGUUAGAAGUUGCUGGCAGUCAGAGGCAGGGGAGCUGUCACUCGCGGCGAGCCGGGCGGCGGCCAGGGCGCAAAGUUGAGAGCAGUCUCUAGUCUGAGCCUUUCAGUCGCCUUCCAGUAUCAUCAGUACCACGGGCUCCACCUUGCUGCGGCCCCUCAGCAACCCAGUGCACCUGCCACUCGACCAGAGGGAAAGCAGUCAGGAGUGGGAGGCCUCUGAACAAGCUGUAUUUUGUGUAGCCGCCAGCUUCCAUCUUUCUCCAGGCAGAACGCUGGCCCUCAGCACAUCUUUCUGCUUCCCCUCGGUCAGACCACCGAGAACUGCCGCUGUCCUGUCUGACUCCUCCUGUUUUGAAGCAGCCCCAAUUGAAACCAGCUCCACCUGUGAUCCUAGGAAGAGAGAGCAUCUUCUCUGGGAAGAAAUGCCCUGGGGAAGACUCUUGGUCAUGGGGACUGGGCGCUGUGACAGGACUUCGUGAACUACAUGGAUUGUAGCUGUUGGGGUGACAACAUAUCCAUACUUCAUCUUGAUAAGACAUAUCAUUUGAUGGUUGAAAGCUGUAAUUAUUUUAAGAUAAUACACAAUAGAUUUUAAUAGCUUUAUCAAGAUAUAAUUCACAUACCAUAGGACUUACCCAUUUAAAGUGUACAGUUCAAUGGUUUUAAUGUAUUCACAGUUGUGCAGCUAUCACCACUGUCUAAUCUGUAACAUUUCCAUCACCAAAAGAAACUUUGCACCUAUUAGCAGUCACUCCCCAUUUUUCCCAAGCCCCUCAGCCUUAAGCAACCACUCAUCUACUUUCUGUCUCUAUAGAUUUGCCUAUUUCAGACAUUUUGUAUGAGUGGGAAUCAUACGACAUGCGGUCUUUUGUGUCUGACUUCUUUCAUUAGCAUGUUUUCAAGGUUUGUCUAUCUUUGCAUAUCAUCAUGCAUUUCUUAUUAUUGCCAAACAUUCCAUUAUAUGGAUAUACCACAUUUUAUUUGUCUGUCUGUUGAUGGACAUUUGGGUUGUUUUCACAUUUUCGCAAUUAUGAAUAAUGCCACUGUGAACAUUUGUGUAGAAGCUUAAGUUUUCAGUUCUUUUGUGUGUAUACCUGGUAGUGGAAUUGCUGGGUCAUAGGAUAACUGUGCCUAACAUUUUGAGGAGCUGUUUUCAAAGUGACUGUACCAUUUUACAUUCUCACCAUCAAUGUGUGAUGGUUCCAGUUUCUUUACAUUAAAUAAUGGCCUGUUUACUUGUCUUCUUGCCUUGUAUUGGAGUUCUCCCAGUGGGUUCUGAAUCUGCUCCACCUCAUCCAGUUGUCCAGGUACUAGACCCCAGAUGAGGAUCUCAGGAAGAUCCACAAAGCUGCGUCCAGGGGAACGAACGUGUGGAAGCUGCAGCGGAGCCUCCUGCUCAAGAGUAAAGGACCGGUCUGAAACCUACAAGAACAGGACACAUAUUGCUUGUCUCUGAACUUCUCAGCUGCCUGCAGAUCUUCCUGUUUUUCAGCUGCAGUUAGGGUUUGUCUGAGGAGAAGCAUAACAUCCCUCCAGGCCAAAUGCUCCACAAAUAAAUGUGUUGAAUGAAUGAACAAAUGAAUAAGCGAAGUGAAUGGAACAUCAAACUGCAUAAAAAUAUAUUUAUUCAUAAAUGAGAGGUGAUGAUUGCCAACAUAUCAUAAUCAGACUCUGACCUUGGUUACUUAUGAGUUUGACAACGAAGAGGAAAGAGGAUCAGGGUCGGCUUUGUUGCCCACUUGGAGUGUAGUGGCACAACCUUGGCUCACUGCAACCUUCUCCUGAAGUACAUAUUAGCUCACCUGGGCUCAAGUGAUCCUCCCACCUCAGUCUUUUGAGUAUCUGGGAUUAUUGGCAUGUGCCACCAAGCCUUGCUAAUUUUUGUAUUUUUUGUAGACACAGGAUUUUGCCACGUUGGCCAGAUUUGUCUUGAACUCCUAAGCUCCAGUGAUCCACCCACCUUGGCCUCCCAAAGUGCUAGGAUUACACGUGUCACCAUCGUGGCCAACCAGCAAGCUCUCUUUUAAUGAUUCAGAGUCUCAGGCCAUAGCAGUAUAAGUAUCAAAACAUCUAUUCCCAACUUGGAGUUGAGAUUUCUAAUACGAAUUCUAUUUUCUCCAUAAUCAUAAAAUAGCAUCAGGAAAAGUCUCUUGACAUCUUAAAAUACAUAUCACUGGAAAGUAGAUCUUUUUGUCCUUCAGAUAAACAUACUGUAAAAUUUGAAAUGAAAAUUAUUCUUUGUACCACCAUUCUGAUUUUACCCAGGGUUAACACAAAAGUUAUAGCAGUACAUGAAGCUCUGAGGCUUCAAUGGGUGUAGAUAUAGACAUCCAAACCUAUAAUUUUACAUUAAUCAGAAUACUAUUCAUAUAAAUCACAAAUGGCAAAACCAUUUCUGAAGGUAUUUGGUUUUAUAGAUUAUAAAAUUAAACUUCCUUAUAAUUGUGUCCAAACUGAAAUAUGCUUCCUGUACAAAAAAGCUUUCUUCUAACAGUAAAGGCCUCCUCCCAACCCACCCGACACAUACACACACACACACACACACACACACACACACACACACACACGAAGAGAGAGAGAGAAUUUAGAGCACUGAUCUUUUCUCUCUUAGACUAAUUAUUUUAACAUUAUUUUCAGCCACUUUAUUAAUUGUGGGGUUAAGGGUAGGAUAGAUCUAAUGCCCAUUUCACAUGUGUUGCAACAUCAGAGAUUAUGGUUUUCAUUAAAAACAUCAGAGCUAAAUUCCUUUUCAAAAAAGACAUUGUUACUGUUAGUACCUUGGGGAAUGUUGUAGUCUUAUGAAUGCUGAUACGUUUAUUUGAGCCAAUUGAAUAUUAUCUCUAAUAUAAACUAUAAUUUACUGUGUGAUUCCUCUUCCUGUUUU